rnacentral:tRNA from 1 species
GCCUGGGUGGCUCAGUCGGUUGAGCGUCUGACUUUGGCUCAGGUCAUGAUCACACAGCUUGUGAGUUUGAGCCCCAUGUUGGGCU